AUGGACUCCACGGAUCAGUUUGACAACAGCCCUCUGCUAGACGGAGACGGCUCAUCACAAGAGAAUACAACAGAAUAUACAGGUGAUGGGUCUGUUUGCAUCAGUGGGCAUCCUGCUUCCAGAAAACAUACAGGGAAUUGGAAGGCCUCCUUCUUAAUCAUAGUCUGUUCAUUCUGUUGUUAUCUUGCGUAUUCUUCCAUUGGAAAAAACCUAGUCAGUUAUCUCACAAAAGUCCUACAUGAAACAAAUUUGGAUGCUGCAAGACAUGUUGCAACUUGGCAAGGUACUAGCUAUCUCGCGCCUCUGGUUGGAGCCUUCGUUGCCGAUUCAUAUCUGGGGAAGUACCGGACAGCUUUGAUCGCCUGCAAGAUUUUCAUUAUUGGAAUGAUGAUGUUGCUUCUAUCAGCAGCACUUCAAUUAAUCUCAGCCGGUCCUCACGCUUGGACUGUUUGGGUACAUCUAGUCUCUUCUCAGUACACCAUAUUCUUGAUUGGUUUGUACAUGGUGGGUUUAGGGUAUGGUGCACAGCGCCCUUGCGUCACGUCUUUUGGAGCCGAUCAAUUCGAUGACACCGAUUAUGUGGAGAAAACCAGAAAGAGCUCCUUCUUCAAUUGGCACUAUUUCGCAAUCAAUGCUGGUUCAUUGAUUGCUGGGACUGUUAUUGUCUGGGUUCAAGAACAUGAAGGCUGGCUCUGGGGUUUUACAAUUUCUACAUUGUUUGUGACUUUAGGUGUUGUCAUUGCAGCUACUCGGAACUUUGAUAAGGUUUUGCCAUGUGAUUCCUCAGCUCUUUAUGAGUUUAUGGGGCAAGGCUCGGCAAUCGAAGGCAGACGGAAAUUGGAGCAUACAACUGGACUCGAGUUCUUUGAUAAAGCUGCAAUUGUGACAUUACCUGACUGUGAAUCUCCUGGCCAACAUAAUAAAUGGAAGAUUUGCACUGUCACUCAGGUUGAGGAGUUAAAGAUUCUGAUCAGGAUGUUUCCAAUUUGGUCGGCAAUGAUUUUGUUUGCUGCAGUUCAGGAACAAAUGUCCUCAACAUUUGUAGAGCAAGGGAUGGCAAUGGAUAAACACAUCGGGUCUUUCGAAAUACCUUCUGCAUCCUUCCAGUGUGUAGAUACAAUUACUGUCAUUGUACUGGUUCCAAUUUAUGAGAGACUCAUUGUUCCAGUAAUUAGAAAAUUUACUGGCAGAGCGAAUGGCAUUACAUCACCACAGCGAAUAGGGAUUGGUUUAUGUUUCUCGAUGUUCUCAAUGGUGUCAGCAGCAUUGGUGGAGGGUAACCGGCUACAGAUUGCACAGGCCGAAGGUUUGGUGCACCGCAAGGUGGCUGUUCCGAUGAGCAUCAUGUGGCAAGGACCCCAGUACUUCCUGCUAGGCGUCGCCGAGGUGUUCUCCAAUAUUGGGCUAACUGAGGCUUUCUAUGAUGAAUCUCCAGAUGGCAUGCGAAGCUUAUGUAUGGCAUUCUCGCUUGUUAACAUGUCGGCUGGAAAUUACCUUAGUUCAUUUAUCCUUUCCCUUGUGCCAGUAUUCACAGCCAGAGGAGGCAGCCCAGGGUGGAUACCUGAUAACUUGAAUGAAGGGCAUUUGGAUAGAUUCUACCUGAUGAUGGCUGGGCUGAGUUUUUUUAAUAUAGUAGUCUUUGUAUUCUGUGCUAUGAGGUACAAAUGUAAGAAGGCUUCCUGA
rnacentral:rRNA from 1 species